UUGAACGCUGGCGGCAGGCCUAACACAUGCAAGUCGAGCGGAUGAAGGGAGCUUGCUCCUGGAUUCAGCGGCGGACGGGUGAGUAAUGCCUAGGAAUCUGCCUGGUAGUGGGGGAUAACGUCCGGAAACGGGCGCUAAUACUGCAUACGUCCUGAGGGAGAAAGUGGGGGAUCUUCGGACCUCACGCUAUCAGAUGAGCCUAGGUCGGAUUAGCUAGUUGGUGGGGUAAAGGCCUACCAAGGCGACGAUCCGUAACUGGUCUGAGAGGAUGAUCAGUCACACUGGAACUGAGACACGGUCCAGACUCCUACGGGAGGCAGCAGUGGGGAAUAUUGGACAAUGGGCGAAAGCCUGAUCCAGCCAUGCCGCGUGUGUGAAGAAGGUCUUCGGAUUGUAAAGCACUUUAAGUUGGGAGGAAGGGCAGUAAGUUAAUACCUUGCUGCUUUGACGUUACCAACAGAAUAAGCACCGGCUAACUUCGUG
rnacentral:rRNA from 1 species